AAAAAAAAAAAAAAAAAGCAGCAAAACAAUUGCCCGGCAAGUUGGGCCUAUAGAGGCAGUGACAAAUUCCUUCAACAUUGAAUUUGUGGAUGCAUACCAGUACAGAAAAGUAGAUAAAAUUAAUUUGCCUACUCUCUUAGUGACAAAAUCGAAAUCGAUAGCACUUCUUUAAGCUGGAAUUAAGCAACAAAGUAUAUAAGCUAAAAUUUGAUACAACAGAAAUUUUCUUCCAGUACCCAUUUCCACAAUGGAUUUCUAUAAAUUAUGUUCAGAUUAGGUAAAAUCAAGCCUUUCCUCUACAUACAUCACAUAAGAAAGAAAAAACAAAAACGCUUAUGGCAUAGAACUAAGCAACCCAAUAAGGCAAGAACUCCCGUUUCUUUGCAGUUAGACCUGAAUCCUGAUUCAAUUAAAAUCAAGGAAAUUUUACCACAGAUCACACAAGAGAUGAAUAAAUUCAGCUGAUAAAUUGAAAAACACAGAAUCUGAUCAUCAUAUAUUUGGAGAAGAAGAAACCAAAUGGAAAACCAAAUUGCUGUGAAGUUUUUGGUUGGUGUGUGUGGGUAGUAC
rnacentral:misc_RNA from 1 species